GACGAACGCUGGCGGCGUGCUUAACACAUGCAAGUCGAACGAGGAGCGAUGGAAGCUUGCUUCGAUCAAUCUUAGUGGCUAACGGGGGAGUAACGCGUAAUCAACCUUCCCUUCCGAGGGGUACAACAGUUGGAAACGACUGCUAAUGCCUCAUACGAUCUAAUCUCGGCAUCGAGGAGAGAUGAAAAGUGGCCUCAACAUGUAAGCUAUCACUUAAAGAGGGGAUUGCGUCUGAUUAUCUAGGUGUAGGGGUAACGCCCCACAAAGGCGAUGAUCAGUAGCCGGUCUGAGAGGAUGAACGGCCACAUUGGGACUGAGACACGGCCCAGACUCCUACGGGAGGCAGCAGUGGGGAACCUUCCGCAAUGGACGAAAGUCUGAAGGAGGAACGCCGCGUGAGUGAUGACGGCCUUCGGGUUGUAAAGCUCUGUUAAUCGGGACGAAAGGCCUUCUUGCGAAUAGUGAGAAGGAUUGACGGUACCGGAAUAGAAAGCCACGGCUAACUACGUG
rnacentral:rRNA from 1 species